CCACUGAAUGUCUGCAGAGACCGGCCAGAUGAGGGGAUGAUGGAGUUGCCUGCUUGACUCGUUCCUGUACUUUUAUCCCAACAAAACAUGACACACACCGAGAUGUGAAAGCUGUCGACUUUUCUUUGUAAAUGUUUCUACCCAGGAAGACAUGAUUUCACCCACCAUGAAGCCUUCUGGAAGCACAUUCCUCUGACGCUGCAGCAGCGCGGUGGGAAGGGCCUCCAGCAAACAGAUGGGACGAGUGAAGAUAAAAUGAUCAUCUAUUUGAAUGCAGUGGUGGUCCUGGCUCAACAAAUUCACUGGGAAGAGCUUUUUGACAUUCUCAGCUCCCCCUCUAUUUUCAUCACUCCCUGCAUCUGCUUUCUAUGAACCCCACACCCCACACUCACUACUGGGACUUCUCCCUUGCUAGGGAAGCUACUAUCACUGACUCAUGACUACCUGGCUGCUGAAAGUCUUUUGCCCAGGUCUCUGCACUGUCAACAUCAAGCUGAGGUUUAAUUCCAUACUUGGUCAGUUCAUUGUGGCCAUCUCCCAAAAAAAAUUUUUUUUUUGAGACAGUCUCAUUCUGUCACCCAGGAUGGAGUGCAGUGAUGUG
ensembl:lncRNA novel transcript, antisense to FOXN3